AUUGAACGCUGGCGGAAUGCUUUACACAUGCAAGUCGAACGGCAGCACGGACUUCGGUCUGGUGGCGAGUGGCGAACGGGUGAGUAAUACAUCGGAACGUGCCCAGUCGUGGGGGAUAACGUAGCGAAAGCUACGCUAAUACCGCAUACGAUCUAAGGAUGAAAGCGGGGGAUCGCAAGACCUCGCGCGAUUGGAGCGGCCGAUGGCAGAUUAGGUAGUUGGUAGGGUAAAGGCCUACCAAGCCGCCGAUCUGUAGCUGGUCUGAGAGGAUGGACAGCAACACUGGGACUGAGACACGGCCCAGACUCCUACGGGAGGCAGCAGUGGGGAAUUUUGGACAAUGGGCGCAAGCCUGAUCCAGCCAUUCGGCGUGCAGGAUGAAGGCCUUCGGGUUGUAAACUGCUUUUGUACAGAACGAAAAGGCUCUGGUUAAUACCCGGGGCUCAUGACGGUACUGUAAGAAUAAGCACCGGCUAACUACGUGCCAGCCGCCGCCGUAA
rnacentral:rRNA from 1 species